UAUUUAAAUAAAUACCGUUCUCGUAUAACUCCGCAUUCAGCAGAUGCCUUAAGGGCGGAGGUUUCUACAGGAAGCCUACUCUUCCUAACUACGAUGAUAAGGAAAUGGAUC
rnacentral:ncRNA from 1 species